GCCGCGUCAGGUUGAUUGACAGACGAGCAUCUGCUGCAGUAAGAGGAUUAAUACACGACACAUGCGCGCAGUGUUGCGUUUCACUGAGCCUCACAUCUCCUCUCAGAACUGAGAAGUUUAAGAAAACAAGAGAAAAAGGUUCGUGUAGCUCCUCCUCAGUGAAUCUGCAGCUAUGAGCUGGUGCCAUCUGUCCACCCGUGCGCUCAGGCAGCCACCAGAAGGCCUCAACAUGUGCUGAUGUAAAUGGAGAGCUCAACUUUCCCAGGACAGAACUGACCCUGGCAGCCGCCCUCACACACACACACACACACACGCGUAUAUCACACCAUCAAAGGCACCUCACGCCCCUCAUCCAUACACACACACACACACACACACACACACACACACACACACACACACACACACACACACACACACACACACACACACACACACACACACACACACACACAGACACAGACACAGACACACACACACACACACACACACACAGAUCGGCUGAAAACACAUUUGCUGAGUACAAGUCCAUCAAACACCCGUCAGAUCAUGGCUAGAUAAGAGCUGAUACCAACACACACACACACACACACACACACACAU